rnacentral:rRNA from 1 species
CCAGACUCCUACGGGAGGCAGCAGUGAGGGAUAUUGGUCAAUGGGGGAAACCCUGAACCAGCAACGCCGCGUGAGGGAAGACGGUUUUCGGAUUGUAAACCUCUGUCCUCUGUGAAGAUAAUGACGGUAGCAGAGGAGGAAGCUCCGGCUAACUACGUGCCAGCAGCCGCGGUAAUACGUAGGGGGCAAGCGUUAUCCGGAUUUACUGGGUGUAAAGGGAGCGUAGGCGGCGAUGCAAGUCAGAAGUGAAAGCCCGGGGCUCAACUCCGGGACUGCUUUUGAAACUGUAUGGCUAGAUUGCAGGAGAGGCAAGUGGAAUUCCUAGUGUAGCGGUGAAAUGCGUAGAUAUUAGGAGGAACACCAGUGGCGAAGGCGGCUUGCUGGACUGUAAAUGACGCUGAGGCUCGAAAGCGUGGGUAGCAAACAGGAUUAGAUACCCGUGUAG